rnacentral:rRNA from 1 species
GACGAACGCUGGCGGCGUGCUUAACACAUGCAAGUCGAACGGAAAGGUCCUGCUUUUGUGGGGUGCUCGAGAGGCGAACGGGUGAGUAACACGUGAGUAACAUGCCCUUGUCUGUGGGAUAACUUCAGGAAACUGGGGCGAAUACAGGAGAGGAUCUCCUGCUGCAUGGGGGGGGUUGGAGAAAGUCGGCGGUGGGGGAUGGACUCGCGGCUUAUGAGCUUGUUGGUGGGGUAGUGGCUUACCAGGGCUUCGACGGGUAGCCGGCCUGAGGGGGUGACCGGCCACAUUGGGACUGCGAUACGGCGCAGACUCCUACGGGAGGCAGCAGUGGGGAAUAUUGCACAAUGGGCGGAAGCCUGAUGUAGCAACGCCGCGUGCGGGAUGACGGCCUUCGGGUUGUAAACCGCUUUCGCCUGUGACGAAGCGUGAGUGACGGUAAUGGGUAAAGAAGCACCGGCUAACUACGUG